UCUAACGCAGGGCGCGCAGCGACGGUAAGACGAGGGGAGGUAGCUUUGGUCGGAAUAUGUGGGCGGAAAGCGUACGUAGGCGGCUAUUGAAGGCAGAUGGGAAAGCCCGGGGCUCAACCCCGGAACUGCCUUUGAAACUAGAUAGCUAGAAUCUUGGAGAGGUCAGUGGAAUUCCGAGUGUAGAGGUGAAAUUCGUAGAUAUUCGGAAGAACACCAGUGGCGAAGGCGACUGACUGGACAAGUAUUGACGCUGAGGUGCGAAAGCGUGGGGAGCAAACAGGAUUAGAUACCCUUGUAGUC
rnacentral:rRNA from 1 species